CGCUGGUGGGAUACUACCCUAGCUGUGUUGGCUUUCUAACCCGCACCACUUAUCGUGGUGGGAGACAGUGUCAGGCGGGCAGUUUGACUGGGGCGGUCGCCUCCUAAAAGGUAACGGAGGCGCUCAAAGGUUCCCUCAGAAUGGUUGGAAAUCAUUCAUAGAGUGUAAAGGCAUAAGGGAGCUUGACUGCGAGACCUACAAGUCGAGCAGGGUCGAAAGACGGACUUAGUGAUCCGGUGGUUCCGCAUGGAAGGGCCAUCGCUCAACGGAUAAAAGCUACCCCGGGGAUAACAGGCUUAUCUCCCCCAAGAGUUCACAUCGACGGGGAGGUUUGGCACCUCGAUGUCGGCUCAUCGC
rnacentral:rRNA from 1 species